GCCCGGGCACCCUAGGCAAUUUACCCAACACAAUGAUUCUCAUGGCGAGCGGGGAUUCUGUGCCCAGCCCGGAGGACAUUUGGCAAUGCCUGGGGAUCAUAUUUUGGUCUUCACGACUGGGCGUGGGGGUGGAGGGAGAAGGCGGUACCAUCAGGGAGCGGCUGGAGGCCAGGGAUGCUGCUAAACAUCCUACCACGCACAGGAGAGCUUUCCACAGUAAAGAAUUAUCCAGCCCCAAAUGUCAGUAGUGCAGAGGCUGAGACACACUGGAAGCUCCUUAAGCCUCAGUUUCCGCAUCCACACAAUAGGCAUGUCUCCCGAAUCUCUCCAGGGUGCUGUGCGGUGGCCCGAAGUCAUGAAAGCUGGCUUGGGGUCAGACAAAUCUGCUAAGUGUCCCCCACCACCACCCCAGCCCUGCGACCUUAGUAGUUGUGUGACUCUGAGCAAGUCGAUCUCUCCCAGCCUCAGUUCACUCACCUGCAAAGUGGGUGCAACAACAGGGCCCCACUUUAUAGUUAUUGGUGAAGCCGAAAGGGCCCCGAGUGCAGAAUAUGCCUGUCAAAUACUGAGCGCUCAACAAAGGGUCGCUGUCAUUCAUAUGAUUUUCCAGUUCUGUGAUACACAGGACCUUCUGGUAGACAUCACUAGUCAGAGACCCUCCAAGCUGGGUUCACGGAUUGUCAGUUGAAUUUGACUCCACCUGGUUCUGAAUUUCUAUUAUUUCUGGCAGGUUAUUUGAACUCUCCGAGCUUCAAGGAGGCUUCAGGUGGGGGGGGGAAUCAUAUCGGCCCCCCAAAUGAGGCGCAAAGCACUUAACCUAGGUACUGGGCUCAAAACUUGGUAGUUAUUCUUGUUGUCAUUAUUAUUAUUAUUAUUAUUGGCCACACCGCACGGCUUGCGGGAUCUCAGUUCCCCGACCAGGGAUUGAACCCGGGUCACAGCAGUGAAAGCCCAGAAUCCUAACCACUAGGCCACCAAGGAACACCCUUGUUCUCAUUAUUUUUUAUUAUUUUGGGAGUGGGAGCACAGGAGACAGGAUGACAGCACCUCCUACCAGAGACAGUUCCAGGCCCUUCCAGGCCCACUUGCCUUGACGUGUAAGAGGGUAAAUUGAGGCUGGGCUGGUGCUGCUGGCGGCAGGGGGAGCAGAGGUGGGCGCUGGGUGGUCUUGCCCUUCCCACCUCUGUCCUCCCACAGGCCUCCUCCAGCAUAGAACUGGGAGACUUCAAGAUUGGCUAUGGGCCCAUGUAUGCAGAGCAGAAACAAGCCUACAGGCCCCAGGUUCUGCCCCCAGACAGGUACAAAGGGACCAUGGCCUACUACCAAGAUGGGGCAAACGGCUCUCAACGACAUGUGGGAUGUGUCACCUAAGGCUCUAGGGCCAAUGCUGUGCCUUUGAAUUCUCCAUCACCCACAGGCAAGACCCACUAUUAUGCCACACUUCCCACGAUUAGCACCCCACAGCUCGGCCAUUAGAAAGCCCGUCCCUCUCUCCUUUUUCCUGGGAGUUGCAUGGGCCCAGAUCAGAUGGGUCCUCCUUCUCCCACCUCCUUAUCUGCAGGUAUGACAAGGCCCAGGCCUCAGCCCACAUCCACUGUGUGAAUAUUCGACCUGGAGAUGGCCUCUUCCACGACAGGACCACCAAGGGUGAACACUUCUAUGCCCGGGAGCCAGGUGAGAGCCUGCUGCCUGCCCUGCCCUUCACUCCCACAGCAGCCUCUCAGAGCUGCUCAGGACCUACUCUGCCACUGGCAGAGCCUUUUGUUCUUCACCACGACCUGACUCCGGAGUCGCACAUCCCGGAAGGAAAUGGGUGCCCUGGUCCGGGCAGCCUCACCACCUCCACGCACUUCUUCCACGGCCAGGUCAGCAGGAAGGGGAAGAAGGCAGCAGGGCUCGUCAGGGAAAAGGGCUUCCCAAGCAGAGUGAAUAAUAGCAAGUGCAAAGGCCCUGAGGUGGGAGGGAGCUUGACAUGCGUGCGGGCAUCUCUUGGAUCUGUUUGUGUGAAGUAGGGUGAGUCGCUUAACCCUCCAAACCUCAGUGGCUCUGCCUGUAAAUUGAGAUAACAGUACCAACUCCCAGCGCCAUCACGUGGGACCCAGAGAGAGUGUGAGCCGUCCAAGGUCUCACAGCGCCCACUUCUGUCCUCCGUCCUGGCCUUGGGACAUCCCUGACACCGGGAGCUUCCCAGAUGCCAUGUGGUCCUACAGCCGCUGCCCGCGACCAAGCCACCCAGCCGCCACAUGCCUCAUGAGAAAUUGCAGAGUCACAUAACCCUAGGGGAGCCGUCGCUGCUCGGACAGUUCUUCCAGACCUCCAUGGGCACAGACUAUUUACCCCCUGGGAUGCAGAAGCCGCCGAAAGCGCUCAACCUCCGCUUGCUGCAGAGCAACCUGCCCCAGGGCACAGGCGUGCAAGUAUAGCCACUCGGAGCCCCCGCUGGGUAGACAGCGCUUCUUCUCAACCCUAAACAAGGAUGAGUUUGCUUUCAAGUACCAGGGCCCAGGAGUGCUGAGAUGGGACGACCUCCAGGAGAGUCAUGUGCCCCUGGGCUCCCCUCGCCAGUGGGGCUGUGGGGCUGGGAAGGUGGACCCUCGGGCCCCCCAGACCCCUACCUACCCAUGCCGCAGCCAGCAAUAAACACCACUUUGGCAACAUCCCACCACUUUCCAUCAGUCAGCCAUGAAAGAGGAUAGGGUGCCUGUGGGGUUGGUGAGAGAACGUACGGGAGAGAAUGACUCCAUGGAGAAGCCCUGAAUUUCCGCAGACCCUGGGUGUCAUCCCACUCUGGGCAGGGAGGCCAUCUCAGUCUGUGCAAAAGCUUGGUGGUCUGACGCUUGUAAGGUGUUCAGGUGAUACCACAAGUUCUUUCUUUCUUUCUUUUAUUCUUUUUUUUUUUUUUUUUGGCUGUGCCACAGGGCUUGUGGGAUCUUACUUCCUCAACCAGGGAUUGAACCCAGGUCCAUGUCAGUGAAAGCGCCGAGUCUUAACCACUGGACCACUAGGGAAUUCUCGCUGCCAAAAGUUCUGAAUGGUGUGGGAGGAUGGAGUUACAGUGUUGAACGGAGGCAGCGUGGUGAGAAGUUGAGAAUGUAGGCUCCUGGGGCUGAAUGGACAGAGUGCAAAUCCUGACUCCUCCAUGUCCUGGAAAGUAGUCCUGGGCAAGUCAUUUGACCCCUCUGAGCCUCUAUUUGCUCAUCUGUAAAAUGGAGAUAAACAAUAGCUCUCUCUCAUUAGAUUGUUGUAAAUGAGAAAUGUACACACUGGUUAGUGUGCGUGGCUGGGGGUCAAGAAGGGAGAGCUUCCUUUCCAAGGAUGAAGGUAAGGAGGGUGUAGGAUGGAGCUCAAUCAUUGAGAGACUGGGUGAGGCUCAGAGGGGGCAUGAAAGGGUGGACAUGCUGAGAAUGGCCCAGCAAUGUCCCCUAUUGUGAGCAGAGGCUGGAAGCUGAAUGGUUGGUGCACUGGCUGGCUGGGCAGCUGGCCCCCAGAUCACAGCUGGGUCCAGGGGCACAUCAACAAAAGUCAUCAGCAUGUGAUCAGGCCCAAGGGGGUAGGCGUUCAGCCAGAGACAGAAUGAAAAGGGUGGAAAGGAGGAGUAUGGGGUGGAGACUUGAAGCUGGUAAGUAUGUCAAGGACAUCAAGUAUGUCAAGGACUAGUACCUUGGACAGCACCCCACCUUGAAAGUCUUGGGGUCUGAUGAAUUACCACCAAGAAGCCAUAUCUGUCUGGGACGAUAAGAUGGGCCUUGGUGGCCGUGCCUGGGCCCUGCCUCUGCAGGCUGUUGAGAAUCUGGUUUCACGGAAUGAACACGGUUCCCUGACCCUGUAGACAGACCUUUAAAGACCAAGGCCCCCAAUCCAAUGGGCCACUAAGAGCCAACCUCAAGCCUGGCCAGGAGACCUUUCCCCAUGGGCAGCAGUCCUGUGAGACCAGCUUGUCACUUCCACAGGAAGGAGAGGAGUCCAGUUUGGGGUCCCACGGGGACAAGAUGGACCUUUCGGCUGCAGUCAUGGUAUCCAUGUCGACCAUGAGAGGGUCUGCUAGAGGCAGAACACCUCUUCUGCUUGCUUCCACUAAUGAUGUAGAUGACACUCGUCUGAAUUGCCUCAUGAUAAAACAAGCUUUCUCAGUCUCGGCACUAUGGACAUUCUGGAUAGGACAAUUCUUUGCGGUUGGAGGCUGUCUUGUGCAUUGUAGGUUGCUUGGCAUCAUCCCUGAACUCUACCCACUACAUGCCAGUAGCACAUUCCUUCUCCCCCGCCCAGUUGUGACAACCAAAAUUGUCUCCAGACCUUGCCAAAUGUCCCUUGGGGGAAAAAGUCGCCCCUGGUUGAGAACCACUGCAAUAAACCCAUCCUACAAUGAUUCCUAGGAUAAAAUUAGGCUCUCCUGGUAAAGCCGGUCUGCUUGUUGACCGGACUACAUGUACAAAAAGCUUUCCCUUUUUGCCUUGCCUGCCAGGAAGCUCAGAAAGCUUGCUUUGAUUCCAUGUAGCUCCAGUUGCAGGAUUAUGUGUACUCCUGCCUGGUUCUAGGAAUGGUUUCAACAACCGAGACAUCAGAUUAGAAAUAAUGGGUAGGAGUUACAAGGAAGCAGAUUUCAGCACAACUUGAAGCAUUUUCUAACAAUGGAACUGACCAGCCCCCGGAUGGGUUGCCAGGAAAAAACAGAAACUUUACUCAAGAUGUCUUCAGUACAGAAAGACACUACAUUAUGAUGAUUCUGGAUGUAUUCUAUGGAUUUAUGUCUAUCCCUCCUAUAUCCCACUUACCCCCCAGAAAAGGCAUUUCAUAUGAACUACAAAAACUAAAAAGACUUAUGAAAUAAGAUGAGUAAAAUAGUAUUGAACAUGGGAAAACAUUAAAUUUUAAAGGAAAACAUUUUGUCGAUGGUAAUCAUUGCUAAGCAGCAGACUUGUCUUUUUCUGUCCCUAGGCAAAUGAUUUCCUGCUCUGACCCUCACUUUCCUCAUCUGUAAAAUGGGGAUGGCAACAGUUCCUCCUUCAUGGAGUGGUUACAAGGAGUAAAUAAAAUGUGCGUGUACCAUUCUUUUA